rnacentral:rRNA from 1 species
UACGGAGGGUGCAAGCGUUAUCCGGAUUCACUGGGUUUAAAGGGUGCGUAGGUGGGCAGGUAAGUCAGUGGUGAAAUCUCUGGGCUUAACUCAGAAACUGCCAUGGAUACUAUUUGUCUUGAAUAUUGUGGAGGUAAGCGGAAUAUGUCAUGUAGCGGUGAAAUGCUUAGAUAUGACAUAGAACACCAAUUGCGAAGGCAGCUUGCUACAGGGAUAUUGACACUGAGGCACGAAAGCGUGGGGAUCAAACAGG